UUUUGAAACUUAUGAAUUUUAACAUAUAUAUUAUUUGCAAGAAAAUAAUUUCUUUAUAAUAUAGUGUUUCCGAGUACUCUCCGUGUACUCACCACCUAGACGGAGUAUUCCUAACUCACUAGUCCACCGAAGUAGGACCGCUUAGAGACUUCUUGAUUUAUGGGAUUACUAAUAUGUCGAGUUAUUGGCUUUAUGUGUCUUAGCAUAAAGUAUUCGGUUAGAUUUUUUACGUCUUUGUGUAGUAUCCAUAAGGUGGUAACUAGCUAGUGGCACUGGUAGUGUAAGUUUGAUGUGUGUGUGAGUGCUAGUGACCCAAACCCCUCCCCACCUCCCAUUUCUCUAAUCUUUUCAUACACACACACACACUUUCUCUCAAAAACUCAAGACAUUUUAUUAUCAUCAUUUUCUCCUUAAUUCUUCUAUUAUUAUCGGAUUUAAUCUCAUUUUGUAAGCAAAAUUCUUAGUAACUUGUGUAAAAAUAAUAGUAACCUUCAAAAGUUCAAGAUUACCAUCAAGUGUGUUCUUCGUCUUAUAGCUUCAAAUUACUUGUUUAUGUUGUUAGAUGUCUUUAAUUUCUAGUUUGCUACAAGAUAUUGGUCGAAAUUGUGUUUGUGAACUAUGGAACCCAGAGUGCCGCUCGUCCAUCCUGACAAGCGCCGCUCAUGGUUGCGACAGCUCCGGUUGAUGUGAUAUUUCGCUAUUUUCUCAACUGCUGAAUGCCGAGGAUGCCCGACACUCUUACAAAUGUGAAAUUGAUUUACUUGAGGGCGAAUCAAGCGAAGGAGAUGCUGGAAAUGAUGUAACGGGUGAAGAAACUCCAACCAACAACGAGAUGCUCAAAGAAAGGAGGGAAUGGGUGUUCAAGAAGUCAAGAUAGCAAUCAUUUUGAGGUUGAAGAAUCAAUGGAAAAGGAUUUAGUAACCAAGACAGAAUCAAAAUCUCCUUACCCCCGUUCGGAACCAAACAACACUAGUCUUGUUGAUGCGAAUACCAUUCCCUCAGUUCCUCAAAAGACGAAAUGUGAUGUCUAUUCGCACGUAUGACGUCAAAAAUUGCAAAUCGGGUUACAUGACAUGUCGAAUGUGAGGAUUUCUCACCUUUCAAGUGUAGACUACCCGACACAUUAAGUUUGGGGGAGUCUAUAAUCCCGAUGACUCAAAACAAAGUGAAUACCAUUUCACUCAUCCAGGUAAAUCUUUUAAAACAAUUCUUGAUUUUACAUUUAUACCUCGCAAUAAUUGGCAUGUCCCAGAGAUUGAACACCUAAAAGUCAAGAAGAAAAUCGAAGAACUGUAUCCUGACCUAGAUGAAAGGAGUUGUGCUCAUGCUUUAGGAGGAGCGCUGCUCGCAGCCUCGCAUCAGGCACAAUCACGUUCCAAGUUUGUUUCAACCUCUUAAUGGAAGCCCGAUUAGAUCCAGAUCAUUUUUGUACAACAAAUGGAGCGUGAAAAAGAAGGUAAGCACUUAAACUUAUGUGAUUUAUUAUAUACUAAAAUGCUAUCUUUUAAUUUGUUUUCAUGAGUGCCAAAGCCGUUAAAUUUUUUCAAGAGGAUCAUGGUACGAAAGAAAGAGCCGUAUAGUGGGCAUACGACUCUAGCGACAGCUGAAUGCAAGCACACGGGACAAGAUCAUGUGCAACCCAAGUCGGGUUAUUCAGGGAGCUUUUUAACCUCUUAUUCUUUAAAUAGUUUUGGAUGCAUUGAAUUGGUUAAUCUUAGGAAUAGUAGUAAUUUCAUUCAUUAUUUCUCAUUCAUUAAACUAGACUCAGACCCUAUGGCUCCCAACCCUAUGAAAUCAGCGAACAUUAGCUUUCAAAUCACUUACUUGAAAAUAGUGUGUUAUAACGGUAUUUUCAAAAUAUUUUAUAUUCGUAUGAGAGGAUGGAUUUUUAAGAUGAGUUUUGUAAAGAAAACAAAAAUGAUGUGAACUUUGAUAAGGUAAAAUACAUUGGUUGGGUAAUGGUUAAGUUAAGAUUAAUAUUUUAUUCACCUUAUUCACGCAAACCGUCCGACACUUUAAGUAUGGGGGCGUUUAAGACCACCCCAUGGUAAAUUUGGGAUAUGAGUGUGACUCAAGACUCGGUAAAUUUAGCACUUCUUGGGAGGCAACCAAAGUCUACGUUUUAUUUUUCAUGUUUUAGUUUAGUUUAUAUAUGUGUUUAUUCGUGUAAUAAUAAAAUUGCUUCUUGUUCUAUGUGAAUGUAGGUAGUGGAUUAUUCAAGAAAUUUUUGAUUAAGAUUCUUUAGGUUCACGAAUUAGUUUAUGAAUUGAAGAAGUCGAUCGGUCUAUAAUUGACUAAGUCUAGUUGUCUUUUUAUGAGUCAAGUGGUUUUUUUAUGAGUCAAGUGGUUGAAAAGCAAGUAAUCGUGUUUUCAUUUUUGUUUUGUCUUUUCCGUUUUGAUAUUUUGAUUUAGAUAUGCAGAGGAAAAAUUAUUGAUAGCUUGAAAGGAUCAUGGCAAGUGGUAUGGAGGAGUAUGUCAAGGAACGAAGGUAGACGAGCUCAAGGAGGUUUAGUGAUGGUUUGGAGAAGAAUCGGGUUGAGAAUCAACACUCAAGAGUUCCCAGGUAACCAGGAUAAUGCUAGGAACCGGGCUUGAUUGGAGUCUAGCUUGGAUUUGGAUUAAUGAAGUGGCGCAUCUUUUGUUAGAUUUAUAUUAGAGAGGGAUUAUUAUCUAUGGAAGUAACUGACUAUGCUAAAAUGUCUAUGUUAUGUAAAGAUCUUGUAAAAUGUCUAUAUAAUAUAAUGAACUUUUAAAUUCUGGUUA